GGCAUUCAGUUGUUGAAAAAACUUUGAUCGAUCAUGAACAGUUUCCUGUCGCGUCUAUUGUUUUACGUGUUUGUCAUUUUGGUGUUCGGUGCAAGCAUCAAUAUCAUUGAUAUCGUUGCAGCAUGCAAGAGACGAAGUGACUGCGGAGGCUGUAAAUGUCGUGCAGGCGUUUGCGUCUGCAAUGGCUAAAAAUGACACCUCAAAAAAAUCUCGAUGAUCCAGAAAAUUCAACAAGUCUGACAUCUUUCGUCUGAUUAUAAAUAAUUUACAAAGAAAGUUUGUUAACUUUUUUUAAUAUUGUAUAAAAACGAAUUUUGUAAAACUA